rnacentral:rRNA from 1 species
UGGGGAAUCUUGCACAAUGGGGGAAACCCUGAUGCAGCCACGCCGCGUGAGCGAUGAAGGUUUUCGAAUCGUAAAGCUCUGUUCUAUGGGAAGAUACUGACGGUACCAUGGGAGGAAGCCCCGGCUAACUACGUGCCAGCAGCCGCGGUAAUACGUAGGGGGCGAGCGUAGUCAGGAAUUAUUGGGCGUAAAGGGUUCGCAGGCGGCAUGGCAAGUCCGAUGUAAAAGGCGAAGGCUAAACCUUCGUAAGCAUCGGAAACUGUCAAGCUUGAGUGAAGGAGAGGCAAGUGGAAUUCCUAGUGUAGCGGUGGAAUGCGUAGAUAUUAGGAGGAAUACCGGUGGCGAAGGCGACUUGCUGGGAUUAAACUGACGCUGAGGCACGAAAGCGUGGGUAGCAAACAGG